rnacentral:lncRNA from 10 species
CCCACCUGGCUUCUCUCUCACCUUGCUACUUCUCAGACUCAUCUGCCCAUGGGCACCUCCAGGAGUGCCCCAGGUCCUGUCUUGUCUUCAUCUUUGCACUCUCCAAGGUGCCUUCUGCUCCUUGUCUUUAAUACAACCUAUGGACACAGGGCCAUAGGUUGGCACACAUCUGCCUUUAGCCCUGACUGCUCUCUAGAAUUGCGGAUUCUUUUCUCCAAUGCUUUCUUGACACUGGCACAUAGACAGCUAAUUAGACUUCUCAAACUGGACAUUGUCAAAACUCUGAGCUGCUCACCCUUCCAAGCAUUCCUGUCCCUUCCCCCCAUCAACAGCACUUCUGUGCUU